GAAACGGCGUCUAAUACUGGAUAUGAGCUCUCAUCGCAUGGUGGGGGUUGGAAAGAUUUUUCGGUCUGGGAUGGGCUCGCGGCCUAUCAGCUUGUUGGUGAGGUAAUGGCUCACCAAGGCGUCGACGGGUAGCCGGCCUGAGAGGGUGACCGGCCACACUGGGACUGAGACACGGCCCAGACUCCUACGGGAGGCAGCAGUGGGGAAUAUUGCACAAUGGGCGGAAGCCUGAUGCAGCAACGCCGCGUGAGGGAUGACGGCCUUCGGGUUGUAAACCUCUUUUAGCAGGGAAGAAGCGAGAGUGACGGUACCUGCAGAAAAAGCGCCGGCUAACUACGUGCCAGCAGCCGCGGUAAUACGUAGGGCGCAAGCGUUAUCCGGAAUUAUUGGGCGUAAAGAGCUCGUAGGCGGUUUGUCGCGUCUGCUGUGAAAUCCCGAGGCUCAACCUCGGGCCUGCAGUGGGUACGGGCAGACUAGAGUGCGGUAGGGGAGAUUGGAAUUCCUGGUGUAGCGGUGGAAUGCGCAGAUAUCAGGAGGAACACCGAUGGCGAAGGCAGAUCUCUGGGCCGUAACUGACGCUGAGGAGCGAAAGGGUGGGGAGCAAACAGGCUUAGAUACCCUGGUAGUCCACCCCGUAAACGUUGGGAACU
rnacentral:rRNA from 1 species